rnacentral:tRNA from 1 species
GCCCAGAUGGCGGAAUUGGUAGACGCGCAGGUUUCAGAUACCUGUAUCGAAAGAUGUGGAGGUUCGAGUCCUCUUCUGGGCACCA